rnacentral:rRNA from 1 species
UGGGGAAUUUUGGACAAUGGGCGAAAGCCUGAUCCAGCAAUGCCGCGUGUGUGAAGAAGGCCUUCGGGUUGUAAAGCACUUUUGUCCGGAAAGAAAUCCUUGGCUCUAAUACAGUCGGGGGAUGACGGUACCGGAAGAAUAAGCACCGGCUAACUACGUGCCAGCAGCCGCGGUAAUACGUAGGGUGCAAGCGUUAAUCGGAAUUACUGGGCGUAAAGCGUGCGCAGGCGGUUUGCUAAGACCGAUGUGGAAUCCCCGGGCUCAACCUGGGAACUGCAUUGGUGACUGGCAGGCUAGAGUAUGGCAGAGGGGGGUAGAAUUCCACGUGUAGCAGUGAAAUGCGUAGAGAUGUGGAGGAAUACCGAUGGCGAAGGCAGCCCCCUGGGCCAAUACUGACGCUCAUGCACGAAAGCGUGGGGGAGCAAACAGGAUUAGAUACCCUGGUAGUCCACGCCCUAAACGAUGUCAACUAGUUGUUGGGGAUUCAUUUCCUUAGUAACGUAGCUAACGCGUGAAGUUGACCGCCUGGGGGAGUACGGUCGCAAGAUUAAAACUUAAAUGAAUUGACGGGG